rnacentral:sRNA from 18 species
GUCAACGACUCAGCCCUGAAGGGACUGAAGCUCUUCAGCAACAGCUUGAAGUUUCAAACUUUCAGGUAAAGGAGACCAGACUCAGCACCCGCUACGUUCGUGGCAAAGUUAAAGAACCUACCUUGGAGUGCGUAGCUAGCUCCAAGCUCUAGA